AGGGAGGCAGAGACCUGGACAGGGAGAGAGAGGAGUGGGAGAGACGGAGGCAGGAGAUGGAAAGAGAGAGCGGAAGACAAGGAGAGUACGAGGAGGAAGGAGGAGUAAGACCCUAUCCAGGGUCAGAAUAUGACUAUUUGAAGGGCGCUCCGGGUGAAAAUGGACUUCCGGGACCGAAGGGGGAACUUGGUGAAAAGGGACACAAGG